rnacentral:rRNA from 1 species
CAGUAGCCACGGGAAAACGGAGGGGGCUAGCGUUGUUCGGAAUUACUGGGCGUAAAGCGCACGUAGGCGGCUUGGUAAGUUAGAGGUGAAAGCCUGGAGCUCAACUCCAGAAUUGCCUUUAAGACUGCCGAGCUAGCAGGUGAGAGAGGUAAGUGGAAUUCCGAGUGUAGAGGUGAAAUUCGUAGAUAUUCGGAAGAACACCAGUGGCGAAGGCGGCUUACUGGCUCAUACUGGACGCUGAGGUGCGAAAGCGUGGGGAGCAAACAGGAUUAGAUACCCCAGUAGUCCCUGUCUCUUAUAC